AUUGAACGCUGGCGGCAUGCUUUACACAUGCAAGUCGAACGGUAACAGGCCGCAAGGUGCUGACGAGUGGCGAACGGGUGAGUAAUGCAUCGGAACGUGCCCAGUCGUGGGGGAUAACUACUCGCAAGAGUAGCUAAUACCGCAUACGAUCUAUGGAUGAAAGCGGGGGACCGUAAGGCCUCGCGCGAUUGGAGCGGCCGAUGUCAGAUUAGGUAGUUGGUGGGGUAAAGGCUCACCAAGCCAACGAUCUGUAGCUGGUCUGAGAGGACGACCAGCCACACUGGGACUGAGACACGGCCCAGACUCCUACGGGAGGCAGCAGUGGGGAAUUUUGGACAAUGGGCGCAAGCCUGAUCCAGCAAUGCCGCGUGCAGGAAGAAGGCCUUCGGGUUGUAAACUGCUUUUGUACGGAACGAAACGGCUCUGGUUAAUACCCGGGGCUAAUGACGGUACCGUAAGAAUAAGCACCGGCUAACUACGUG
rnacentral:rRNA from 1 species